AUUAUUUUAUAAUAUACUAUACUUUGUGUUGGUUUUGGCCCACACUAAGAUCAAGAAGGGGGGACUGAAUUGAUCUCCUUAGAUUUUUCCUUGAUAUAAAAUUCUUGUGAUGAUGCUAAAGGUGUUUUCUUGUUGCUCCUUAGUUCUCUAAAACUUAAAUUGCAGAAUUAUAAGAACAUAUAUUUUUAUAGUGGUUCAACUCACUACUUAUGCCCACUUUUCAAGAUCAAUUUUAUUCUUGGGUUCCACUAAUUAAAUGGAAUGAAAAUAGCAAGAAAAGAGUUUUUCUCCUUAUUUUCUGUGCUCUUCCUCCAUCUUGGUGCCCUCGUUUCUCACAACCAAG
rnacentral:lncRNA from 1 species